AACGAACGCUGGCGGCAGGCCUAACACAUGCAAGUCGAACGGACGUAGCAAUACGUUAGUGGCGCACGGGAGAGUAACGCGUGGGAACCUACCUUUUGGUUCGGGAUAACAUCGGGACACUGGUGCUAAUACCGGAUAAGCCCUUCGGGGGAAAGAUUUAUUGCCGAAAGAUGGGCCCGCGUUGGAUUAGCUAGUUGGUGAGGUAAUGGCUCACCAAGGCAACGAUCCAUAGCUGGUCUGAGAGGAUGAUCAGCCUCACUGGGACUGAGACACGGCCCAGACUCCUACGGGAGGCAGCAGUGGGGAAUAUUGGACAAUGGGGGAAACCCUGAUCCAGCCAUGCCGCGUGAAUGAUGAAGGCCUUCGGGUUGUAAAGUUCUUUUGGUGGGGACGAUGAUGACGGUACCCACAGAAUAAGCUCCGGCUAACUUCGUGCCAGCCGCCGCGGUAAGAC
rnacentral:rRNA from 1 species